rnacentral:sRNA from 1 species
UCCUAGCCCUGAUAGCAGCGAUAUCCUUUUGUUCCGCAGCGGCGGAUAAAAGAUAAAGCGGAUAGCGGGAAUAGCU